rnacentral:misc_RNA from 1 species
CGAGCGUCAUUUAAACCUUCAAGCCCUGCUUGGUGUUGGGUGUUUGUCCCGCUCCCGCGUGGACUCGCCUCAAAAGUAUUGGCAGCCGGUAGAUUGGCUUCGUGCGCAGCAGAUACGCGCGUCGAGGCCCCUCUGUCGAUUUCCAGAAGCCCCUUCUUCAGUUUGACCUCGGAUCAGGUAGGGAUACCCGCUGAACUUAA